GAUGAACGCUGGCGGCGUGCCUAAUACAUGCAAGUCGAGCGAAUGGAUUAAGAGCUUGCUCUUAUGAAGUUAGCGGCGGACGGGUGAGUAACACGUGGGUAACCUGCCCAUAAGACUGGGAUAACUCCGGGAAACCGGGGCUAAUACCGGAUAACAUUUUGAACCGCAUGGUUCGAAAUUGAAAGGCGGCUUCGGCUGUCACUUAUGGAUGGACCCGCGUCGCAUUAGCUAGUGGGUGAGGUAACGGCUCACCAAGGCAACGAUGCGUAGCCGACCUGAGAGGGUGGUCGGCCACACUGGGACUGAGACACGGCCCAGACUCCUACGGGAGGCAGCAGUAGGGAAUCUUCCGCAAUGGACGAAAGUCUGACGGAGCAACGCCGCGUGAGUGAUGAAGGCUUUCGGGUCGUAAAACUCUGUUGUUAGGGAAGAACAAGUGCUAGUUGAAUAAGCUGGCACCUUGACGGUACCUAACCAGAGAGCCACGGCUAACUACGUGCCAGCCGCCGCGGUAA
rnacentral:rRNA from 1 species